rnacentral:rRNA from 1 species
GUGACGUCGCGAGAAGUUCACUGAACCUUAUCAUUUAGAGGAAGGAGAAGUCGUAACAAGGUUUCCGUAGGUGAACCUGCGGAAGGAUCAUUGUUGAGACCUGCCCAGCAGAAAGACCCGUGAAC